rnacentral:sRNA from 1 species
CGUUUCCAUUUGAGUAUCCUGAAAACGGGCUUUUCAGCAUGGGACGUGCUUAUUUAAUUAUAGGAGUGCAUAGUGGCCCGUAUAGCAGGCAUUAACAUUCCUGAU